rnacentral:lncRNA from 1 species
ACUAGGCGCGUGGUACCCGAGGCCGGGCCGGAGCCGCAGGCCAGCCGCGAUUCCUUCGGGCGAUGCUGGGGGCUUUCCGGUCGGGGCCGCAGCCGCUUCCGGAGCCGCGGGCGAGUCGAUUCACCAUGAUCUUGGCUGGCUGUCUUCUUCCUUCAUGGCUGCUAGUAAUGACAAUUCAGUGGCUGUUUCUUCAGCUGUGCAAAGUUGGAACAUGUUUGGGAGUUCAACGGCAUUGGUUUCUGGUGCAAGCGGUCUUCUCUGUCUUCUUUAUGGCCAGUAAAAUUCUCCAGAAGAGAUUUAUGGCAGCCUCACUCCCAGUAGUUUCUGCAUUUAGUGAGAUAAGAUGGAAUCUUGCUCUCUUGCUCAGACUGGAGUGCAGUGGCAUGACCUUGGCUCACUGCAACCUCACCUCUCGGGUUCAAGCGAUUCUGCCUCAGCCUCUCGAGUAGCUGGGACUACAGGUGGGAGACCUCCACAGAACCCUUCCAGCAAGCUGUCUUCUAAAGCAAACAAGAAAAGGAAAGUCUGAGCAGUUUUGAUUAGAUUUCCCAGAAGUCAAAGCAAGGAAAAAUGAAAAAGCUUCAUUUCUCACGUUCUUAAAAGAGAGCACAGAUGUUGCAUCAUCUGGUUAGAUACCCUGAGAAUAAAAUCUGGAUCCAGUGAGA